CAUCGUUUUUAGAAUUGAAAUUAAAGAUAGGAUCUGCCCAAUGAUAGGUUUAAUGGCCGCAGUAUUUUGACUGUGCAAAGGUAGCAUAAUCAUUUGUCUUUUAAUUGAAGGCUGGAAUGAAUGAUUUGACGAAAUAAAGACUGUCUCGAUUAAAUUGGUUGAAUUUAAUUUUUGAGUUAAAAAGCUUAAAUUUUAGCAGAGGACGAGAAGACCCUAUAGAGUUUUAUAGAUUUGUUUAAGAAUUUGAUGAUGGUAUUGUAUUUGGGUUUUUAAAUAGAUUUGUUUAGUUGGGGUGAUGAUAAAAUAUAUAAAACUUUUAUUGUAAAAGUUAACUUGAAUAUUAAAGGAGUUUAUAAAUGAUCCUUUAUUAUGGAUAAUAAGAUAAAAUUACCUUAGGGAUAACAGCGUUAUUUUAUUUGAAAGUUCAUAUURAAAAURAMGU
rnacentral:rRNA from 1 species